rnacentral:rRNA from 1 species
UACGAAGGGGGCUAGCGUUGCUCGGAAUCACUGGGCGUAAAGGGUGCGUAGGCGGGUUUUUAAGUUUGGUGUGAAAUCUCCCGGCUCAACUGGGAGGGUGCGCCGAAUACUGAGAGGCUAGAGUGCGGGAGAGGAAAGUGGAAUUCCUGGUGUAGCGGUGAAAUGCGUAGAUAUCAGGAGGAACACCGGUGGUGUAAACGGCUUUCUGGACCGUAACUGACGCUGAUGCACGAAAGCGUGGGUAGCAAACAGG